AGCAGUGAAGGAUCCAGUGAGAUUUUCCAGGUUAACGGUCAUAACCGCCUACUGGUCCAACGUUCAGAAGUAACACAGGCACCUGGAGAAUACACAGUAGAUGUGGAAGGACACGGUUGUACAUUUAUCCAGGCCACCCUUAAGUACAAUGUUCUCCUACCUAAGAAGGCAUCUGGAUUUUCUCUUUCCUUGGAAAUAGUAAAGAACUACUCUUCGACUGCUUUUGACCUCACAGUGACCCUCAAAUACACUGGAAUUCGCAAUAAAUCCAGUAUGGUGGUUAUAGAUGUAAAAAUGCUAUCAGGAUUUACUCUGGACAUUGAGUUCUGCAGUGGCGCUGUCAUUUUUUCUAAUAUCUAUUCUCUAUCCUUCCCUAACAAUUUCUUCAAAGCUUGAAAACAAGGGCCAAGUGAUGAAGACUGAAGUCAAGAAUGACCAUGUUCUUUUCUACUUGGAAAAUGGUUUUGGUCGAGCAGACAGUUUCCCUUUUUCUGUUGAGCAGAGCAACCUUGUGUUCAACAUUCAGCCAGCCCCAGCCAUGGUCUACGAUUAUUACGAAAAAGAAGAAUAUGCCCUAGCUUUUUACAACAUCGACAGUAGUUCAGUUUCCCAGUGAGACAAAGCAAUUACUGGAAGAGGUGGAAAAGCAUUUCUUGUAACAAACCGAUUCUUCUGUAUCAAACCUGGAAAAAAAUCAUGAACCAUCUGACAUCGUGAACAGUUUGCAGUGGGCUAUGGUUUCUUGUCAAGUCUUAUUUCCUUAUCAUCCCAUUAAAUGUUGUCAUUUU
rnacentral:lncRNA from 1 species